UCCUCCGUCGUAGCAAGACCCACCCGGGCAGACUUGCGCGAUUAAAGGAAAAGCAUCUGGAUCUAUAUUUUUUGAUUAUCAGCAUAUCAUAUUGCUUUUAUUAUUAAAUAGUGAUUUUAUUCAUAUCUACAAUAUGCAACCUAUUCGCAAACUCAACAUUUCCUCAGCUCAAGCUCUCUGAUUUCCUAUGAACAACGAACAACUCACUCAACUGUGGCCCAUCGCUGAUACAAACUUAACCUUUACAUCAUAUAUUUUCAACCGCGGGUUGUGCUGUAUACAAUUUUUCUGAGGUAAGAUUUAUAUUAUGUAAACGACCUAAUUAGGCUUCCGGAGUGUAAUAGUUAUCCAACACUCAGAUAAUAAAAAUCAAUAUAUAAAGGUUAUAAUGUAUAAUUCUUUAUUAAUAUGCAGUAUUAAACAAUAAUACAAUAAUAUUAAAUUUUUCUCAAGAGUAAAUAAAUUAUUUUAUUAUUAGUAUUAAUAAUGAAAUUUUUUUUUUUUUAUUGAUCUUAAAAACAUCGACAACAAAGGCCAUUAGUUACAUACAGGUUAUGAUAUAUAAGAUACAUAAUUUAUUAUGAUACAUUUAAUUUUUUUUUUUUUACUAAAAAAGGUUGAACAAUUUAGUUUGUUUUGUAAAAUUAAUUAUCUCUAAAUUUUUUUUCAUGAUUGGGUCCGAGUGCGGUGUCAAGGUUGUAGGAUAUCCCAUUCAUAACACGCUCUUGGUUGAAUUUUAAACAGUCGGCUAUUAAGUGUUUGACAGUUAAAGCAGUUCCACAAGUUUGGCAAAUGGGCAAAGGAGGGUCCCUCUCUGGCCGUCAGAAAACCAUGGGCGAUUCUGGUAUGACCAAUGCGGAGUCUGUUAAGAACAGUCUCCUCUUUCCGGUUCAGCUUUGGAUUUGUUCAGCGGAAGAUGAUGUCUCUUUUGAUUUCCUUUAAUUUAGUAUUUUGUGUGUUAAUAAUGAAAUUUAUAAACAUCUAUAAGUUUUAAUGUAUAGACUCAAUUGUUUAUUGUUAUAUAAAUAUUUGAGUAUAAUUCUACAGGUUUUAAAUUUAAAUAAUUAUAUUCUUAUACUGCUGAAAAAAUAGUUACCUACCUAAUGAAACACAAUAUAAUAUGUAUUAAUAUUUAAAAUAUGUAGGUAUUGAAAUUAUAUAGAUCAUGUAUAAGCA